CGGGGGGGGUAAGCGUUGUUCGGAAUUACUGGGCGUAAAGGGCUCGUAGGCGGCCAACUAAGUCAGACGUGAAAUCCCUCAGCUUAACUGGGGAACUGCGUCUGAUACUGGAUGGCUUGGAUUUGGGAGAGGGAUGCGGAAUUCCAGGUGUAGCGGUGAAAUGCGUAGAUAUCUGGAGGAACACCGGUGGCGAAGGCGGCAUCCUGGACCAACAUUGACGCUGAGGAGCGAAAGCCAGGGGAGCAAACGGGAUUAGAUACCCCGGUAGUCCUGGCCCUAAACGAUGAAUGCUUGGUGUAGCGGGUAUCGAUCCCUGCUGUGCCGAAGCUAACGCAUUAAGCAUUCCGCCUGGGGAGUACGGUCGCAAGGCUG
rnacentral:rRNA from 1 species